rnacentral:lncRNA from 1 species
GUGCCAGGGAAGAUGGUGAAGUAGGAAGAUCCUAUGCUCUCCUCUUCCCAUAGAUACAGGCAGCUGACUGGAUGGGGCAUUCUCCCAUGGAAUCAAAAAGAAAACAAGUGCCCUUACUACUCUGAGUAAGGUGAAGUAAGAAAACUAUGCCCUAAUCUCCUUGUUCGGAGGGAAGAAGAGUGGAGAGUGAGAAAGACAGGGCCCCUCUAGGGGCUAAUGGAUCAUUCCAGAAUAAAGGUAAGCAAAGCAUCACAUUUGACCAAGAGAACACCAUGCCUUAUGCUCAGAGACGUAAAGUCC